CGCGUUCAUGGGCUUCCCUAUUUGGGCCUUUAUCCUGCAUUGCCUGAUUAGGCUGUUCUUUGGACUAUCUGAUUUGGGGAUCCUACAAUUGGACUUCAUUCCUUGGACUAUUCGAUUUGGACUGAACUUUUGUGUGUCAACAGAAAUCAUUAAACAUUAUCAAUGAACAUCUAGUGGGAACAAAUACUUACAAUGCUACGAUCAGAUCUAUUUUGAAAACUUGGUUUUUAAUAAAGUCAAAUCGAGAAAAGUCACUGAGUUGGAACAAAAGGAAGUAGCCUGACUAACCCCUCGAUCGCUAUGUAAUAAACUACUUGGUUUCUGCCUUCUUCACAUCCUUCCUCUCAUUCAUGAUGGAUUUCUCCAACUUUACUAUGCUUCUGUUUGUUAUGUUGGUACUUAUUGCCGCUUGUGUUUGAUUUACAAUUUGUAGCCUCUUUAAGCAUAAUUACUGACAAGGAAGCCUUGAUCUCAUUCAAGUCUCAAUUAGCUCAGAGUCCUGGAUUUGAUGCAAAAUCAGAUUUCUGGACAAAUUCCCGAAGAGAUCAGUUAACUUAAACAGAACCAAGUUUAGAAUUCGGCAAAAUCAGAGUCUUGUACACACAAACACGAUGAAUAGGGUACUCAAUGCGAAUCCAAUCACUGUCAUCCCUAAAUUUAUCUGUGAAGUCAUCAUUGUUUUCUCUCUAGAUGCUGACACUAUAUUAAAAUUGAAAGUCAAUUCAAUAUUUUCCAUACACUUCAAUGUCUCACACAGAUAUCUCAGAAAAAAAUCAAACACUCUUCAUAAAAACCUCUUCUUGAUUCUGAUUUCGGUAUUUAGCGUCCACGUUUUUAUUUAAAUUAGAUUAUUACCAAUAAAAACCAGCAAAAUCAAGAAAAUGUAAAACCAAGAACAUGAUGCCCUAAAAUACAAAAAUAAAAAUGGGUUUCCAAGCAAUUUUGACUUUUGAGGAACGUACGUGCUCGCCAAAUUGUAGGACCUCGUCGGAGUGGAGAAUGUUGCUGGAUGGAGGACGUCGUCAUGUAGACUUCUUGGAGAAGGCGUCAAGUGAAGUGUGAGAGGAAUUGUGAGAAGAGAGCAAAUUUCUUUUGUUUUAAUAUGAAUUUUAUUUUAGU
rnacentral:lncRNA from 1 species